CAGGGAGCCUGACAUGAGGCUCCAUCCCACGACCCCGGGAUCAUGACCUGAGCCAAAGACAUGGGCCAGAGCCCAAAGUCAGAAUCGAGGCCAUAGGGACAAUCAUGCAGAGGAUUCCUGCUGCCACCAAGGGCUGUCCAUCCAUAGGAGGACUUCCCUUGACAGCCCUGUCCUGAGGCAGCUGGUUUUGGUGGGCAGCUGGUAGCAUCUGCCAUUUGCACAUUGCUAAUAACACCCAUGCCUUCCAUGCUCGUGGCUUGAAGAGGGAGCAAUGGAUCUGUGCUACUAGAGCUAUGUGGGAUUGUCUUCUGACCAUCAAGCUAAGACCUAGUAAAACCAGCAUCUUAAGCAGGAUUAGGACUGAAUUCUAAUUCAGCCUUCUAUCUUGAAUCGCUCACCCAUCAACACAGAACUGGUGUAACUGGGCUGCUCUGAAAGUCUGGCCUGCUCACCAGGUUUGAUCCCAGUACCUACUGCUUUGGGAACUGAAAACAGAUUCUCAAUGGAUCUUAUCCCAGAUCUUAAUUUCAGCAUUGAUUUCCACCUGCCUCCUUCUUCCUUGAGUAUAUCAGCUCGUGUUCUUUGGUUGCAAACAAGAGUAGCUGCCUCCGAUAAACUUAAACCAGGAAAGAAUUUAUUGGGAAAAUUGGGAAGUUCCAAGGAUUGAGGAGAGGAGGCUGAAGAUCCAGUGGUGGAAAGGACAGACCCAGAUAGCUCACAGGAGUCUCCACAGCAUGAACUUCUCAACAGCUGCAUCUGAAACAAAGGAUUCUGAUUCCAGGAAGAGAGCAUGUGACUGGUUUAGCUAGGUUCAACUUGCUCAGGGGCUGGGGGAAGUCAGGGUCCCCAAACAACAGUCUCACCAGAUGGAAUCCAAAAGUGCGUAUGGAAUUACCAAAAAGUAAAUGGGGAAGCUAUUACUGAAAGAAUGGGGACUGAAAGCUGAGUAGCUAAAGGAAGUAAACCCAAAACAACAACAAAACAAAUGAGUGUCAUUCCCUUCUCCUCUCCACUUCACUGUUUUGUAUGUUUUCCACUCUUUUGUAUAUGUUUCUCUCUCUUUUUUCCUUUAUCUUUUCUGCCUUUCUUGCCUUUUCCUCACCCUUUAAAGUUUAUGUGGUAUGGUGACUGAAAUUUUUGGCAUUGUUCCUGCUUUGUCCCAGAAAUCUAAUAUCAAAAUUGUAUCACCUAAACAAAUUGACCCUUGUGGGUAAUUGGUGGUCCACAUUGUCAGGUUUUUGAAGACAUGUUCCUGAAUCCAUCCUUUUUAAACUAGCAACUGACCCAACUGCCUACCAUUAAGUCUGUUAUAUAAUUGUUAUAAGUGAGUUCCUUUAAUUAGAGCACGGAGACUUCAGGAAUUUGCCAUGGAAAAGAUAAUCAUCUACUAUUUAGUAUUUCCAUCUUAUCAUGAAAUCAGUCAGCCCUUUAUCAGAGGAAGCCAGGGAACAGCCCACCUAGUUGACAGAAAUAUGCCAGCGUCAAAUGAGCAUUUACAGUAGAGACAGAGGUUAUAGGUCAGACCUCAGAUCCACCUCUUUCUGGCUUUGUGACUUAGUUUAAUUAUUUAUCUUCUUCAAGCCUCAUUUACCUCAUCUGUGAAAGGGGACAUAAUUCUUAUCACAUUUGGCUGUUAUGAAAAAUCAAUAAAAGUAUAUUUGCAAAAUACUCUA